GUUUUUAUCUGCUGUUCUUUUCUCACUCCUAGCAGCCCUUGGUAGCUAAGGUAUUUGUAAUGCAUGAAGGACAGUAAAAGGCAAUCCACACCACAAACCGGAAACCAAGCAAUGAUGGUUGUUUUACAAGAAUUAUAUGUAGCUCCUACCAGGUUUAAAGUUGUUGUUUUGUAGUUUAUAUUCCUGGAGGAGAUUGUGGUGGGACGGCGGAUUCAUGCCACUCACCAGCUUCAAUGUUCAGGGCCUUCCUUGCAGUUGCUUGGUACUUUUCACUUCUGCCUACCCUCCUAGAUGGAAGAGACUGAGACGCAAUUGCUUUGCUCGAGUUACUGCUAGUGAUGGAUGAUAAAAAUUUCUCUUUUGAUUGAGUUUCAGAAGCAGAUGUGAUAACAGAAUCGAAGACACCACUCUCCCUUAAUCCCUGUAUAAUCACCAUAGGAGCAUGAAUUCGUGUUAAAAUGCCCUUCCUCAACAACUUGAUUUUUACGUCUUUGU
rnacentral:misc_RNA from 1 species